GGACGAUUGCUGGAACAUGUAUAAUGUUGAUCCCUAAGUUAUGCUGUGGUUAAUUUGUAGAACCGCACUUUAGGAUCAUUGAUUAUCAGUGACAACAUAAUGUGGAAACCCUACAUUGUGCUUGUACAUGAGUAUGCCCCAAGUUUUGUUGCUUUGAACUGAAAAAUGCUAAUGUAGGGUACAGUCUGUUAGUUAGCACUUAGCAGCUUUUGCUUAUAAAGUGCCAGAUUAUCACAGCUUGUAAGUUGCUUAUAAAGCGCCAGAUUAGCACUUAGCAGAUUACCUUGUACAGUAGCGUAAAAUUAGGUAUAGAACCAACAUUUGAGCACUAGUCCAUCGCCUGGGGCGAUUCACUGCUUUUGCUUGCUAAGGCUUGCUUUCAAGUUAUCAUUGAAGAUGAACGAUAUAGUUAUCGUGUCACUUCUAUUAUCUUCAGAAAGAAGGAGCUGCCUUCAUUUGCUUGAAUAUUUCGGAGUUCUACUUAUGAUUAUUAGAUAUGUGUCUGUAACAGGGCAUCAGUAGACAGCACAGAGGAUGGAAAGUGGGAACUCGCCGUGUGAAACUGUGCGCUCUUGAGGGCUCAUCUUUGAAUUACAAAUCAUAUUUUUAAAGUUUACAAAAUAUAUGAAAGCAUACACAAGUACUUAAGGCUGUAUUCUACAUGUGUGUAAAGUUUCAUGAUGAGAUACUUGAAGAGUUGAGCUCCACAACAACAAAAAACAAAUUCAUGUGUAAAUAUCUUUGGCCUCUUUUUUUUAUUGUUCAAUUUUUCAAGAAAAACCCCGUUAAGGGCAUCUUCAGUGCGGACCCUCAAAACGCCAGCAAUUGUUCGGACCGAGGGGCCCAUUGACCCCACAGGGCCUCUCCAUGUGGGUGGGCCCUUGGUCGCCUGGCUUGGCCACGUGGGGGCCUGGGAUGACCCCCUGGCCUCUCCCGGCAUUUUUCUAGAAUCUUCACAACUUGGAAAAAUCAUAUUAAAUCCCCGGUAUAUUUUGACCUCUGUAGAUAUGGAUUUUUUGAAAAGUCAAAAAUAUGUAGAAAACAACAAUACGCUUUGAGCACUAAAUUAAUGGGUUAGUCCAAAAAAAUUGCUAUAAAAAGUAUUCAAAAGUGAUAUUAUAAUAGCAUGAAAUAAUAAAAAAUUAUAGAUACGUUCGAGACAAAUCAAAUAUACUUUAUCAUCGAGAGGUCGGAUCCGAACCUCUUACACUAGCUUCGGCACCCCUCAUAUCCUCGAUUCCCUCCGCUCGAAGUCAGCUGCGGAGGCCAGAGGUCACCGGCAGGAGAUGGAGGCGCAGCAGGCGGCGAAGGAGGCAGAGAUGCUCUCCUACAUGGAUGAGGUCGAGCAGGAGAAGGAUGAGCCGGAGCCGUCCUACCCGCUCGUCCAGCCGGCGUCCGACAUCGUUGUCGUGGACAUCUCCGACGAUGAAGAUUAGCUAGGAUAGCACGUAGUAUGUAGUACGUAUGAUUUUUUUGAUAUAAAGGUUAAAAUAUGAAAGACUCUAAUGCAGACUAGCUAUAAGGCUUGAAUGCAGACUAGCUAAUUUGAGGCGUGACAGAGGGCGUUUGGCCGGAGAUGCUCCAACAGUGUUCUUGUUUACCCUUUCCUCAAUCCGCCAUCCCUACUCGUUGCUGCUUCUAUUUUCCCAUCCCCAACAAAGGUUGAGAAUCGAAACGCAAGACGGCACUCCGGUUGUUGACCCCGCCGCCGGAGCUUGCUGCUGCACAGCCAUCGCCGCCGCCGCCGCCGCCGCCGGGCUCCCUUGUCCUGCUCACCGCUGCUCACGCCCCUCAGAGACAAUUCAAAUGGAAACCAAUGGGUUAUCUAUCAAGAGUCAGGAAACCGGGUCAAAAAGAAAGUGGGAGACUAAUGCAGACCUCAGCCGCCGCUUUUGCACUAGCCAACAUGAAAGUCCAUGGGAAGGCGGUGCAGCGAAGCACAUCACAUGCCAUUCCUCUGAGUACCAAGGCCAGUCUUCGCAAGAGUGUCCACCAUGGAAUUAUGGUUCGCUCACUACCUCGCCAGGGAAGCAAAAAGAUUUCCGCUUUUGCAGUAACCAACAUAAAAGUCCAUGGGAAGGCGGCACAACAGAGCACAUCGCAUGGCAUUCCUCUUGGUACCGAGGCCACUCUUCACAAGAGUGGCCUACACGGAAUGGUGCUUCACUCACCCCCUCGCUAGGGAGGCAAAAUGAUUUCCGCUUUUGCAGUAACCAACAUACAAGUCCAUGGGAAGGCGGCACAACAGAGCACAUCGCAUGCCAUCCCUCUUGGUACCAAGGCCACUCUUCACAAGAGUGGCCUACACGGAAUGGUGGUUCACUCACCCCCUCACCAGAGAGGAAUGAUUUCCAUGUUUCAGGAGGUCAGUUCUUUCUGACAUUCAACCCAUACGAACAAGAUGUAGAAAGUAGGUACCUUCAGGACAAAAAGAACGGGGUAAUCACUUGUUUGGUCUGUGGCAAGGAAGGACAUUACAGUAGUAAGUGCCGUUUCAAGGAUCAAGAGCACAGAAUCAUUUGCACAGUCUGUGGCAAAAAUGGCCACUGUAGCAUGUGGUGUUGCCAGCAGAACAAGUCGGAGAAUCGAGCUUGCACCCGCUGUGGAGAGAUAGGGCAUAGUACCAGUACACAUGGUCUCAGUUGCUCAAGCUGCGACGAGCAUCAUGACGAUGGAGAGUGCCGAUUGAGCGAAGUUAAAUGCUUUAUUUGUGAAUGUCAGGAUCAUUAUCUUGCUCAGUGCCCCUUGAAUUCAGUAUUGACUGAGGCAGUUAAGGGUCAGAGAGACAACUUCCAAGCUGCUCUGCGGCUUGCACUAUCAAAACAAGGCAACCCAUCAUCUACACCUGCCAAGUGUUCUGCAAAAUCAGAAGGAAAAGUACUGACCGCCAACAACUCUAGUCCAAUAGUCACCGCAUACAACGCAAGCACAACAAUAUGCUUUACAUGCCGUGAAGAAGGUCACUUUGCUUUUCAGUGUCCUCAGAACAGCCCCGGCCUGUGCAUAGUAUUUGAAGAGAGCGGCACUAUAGCUACAUCCGCCAACCUGUCCAAAAAAUUAGAAGAAUGGGACCCUGAUACUGGUACUGCUAAACAAUCAUCAGAAAUGAAGCCGAUAUUGUACGAUCGAUGUUGCCCCUCAAAAGCAAAAGUACUGCCCCCCAACAAGUCUAGUCCAAUGGUUAGAACAUGUAAAACAAAAACAAAAGGGAAGAAAAAGAUGUGCUAUACAUGCCGGGAAGAAGGCCACUAUGCCCGUAUGUGUCCGCAGAGCUUCGGAGCUAUAUCUGGCAACACGUCAAAAGAACUAGAAGAGAGCAGCACUAUACCUACAUCCUCAAACAUGUCCAAAGUAUUGGAAGAACAGGACCCUGGUACUGCUAAACAGUCAUCAGAAAUGAAGCCGGCAUCGAUUGUUCAAUGUGUUAGCUGUGGUCAGGAAGGGCACAGGGCCAGGAGCUGUCCAACAGUGGUGUUUACAUGCUACAAAUGCAAUGAAGAAGGCCACACAGCCAAUGAUUGCCGUCAGAACCAAUCAUCAGAAAUGAAGCCGGCAUCAGUUGUUCGAUGUGUUAGCUGUGGUCAGGAAGGGCACAGGGCCAAAAGAUGUCCAACAGUGGUGUUUACAUGCUACAAAUGCAAUGAAGAAGGCCACUCAGCCAAGAAUUGCCCUCAGAACCAAUCAUCAGAAAUGAAGCCUAAAUCGAAUGUCUACUGUGUUAGUUGUGGUCAGGAAGGGCACAUGGCCAAGAGGUGUCCAACACGAGUGUUUACAUGCUUCAGAUGCAAUGAAGAAGGCCACAUAGCCAAGAAUUGCCCUCAGAAGCGUUAAGACUGCCACGCCGAGAGCUGUCGGUAAAGCAAACAGUCACACACUAUACACGCCGUUACAUAUUCAAUCACGCCGAGAAGCAGCUGGUGAAGAGAUUUUGACACUGAGAUACGACCAAGGAAGCUCGCAAAGUUACUCACUGAGCUGAGCCAGACCUCCACCUUUGACCAAGAAGUUGUUGCAGAGUUACUAGCUUUUUCUUGUGAUAUUCUAGCUGUUGAAAGUUUUCAAGGAUAUGGGUCUAGUUAUGAUAUGUGUUUUAGAAUGUCCUUUUCUAUGAAGUUGGUGGUGCCAAUUGAAGAUCUGAUGAAAAGACAUUCCCAAGACUGCGUUCACAACUGCCGGACUGUGCAAGUUACUGGCAUGUUCCUUGGUUUAAUAAAUGCUUAUCCAUACUAAAUGAACUUGAUGAAGUGUAAGGAAUACAUCUGGGUAUAGAAUGUUUCCGGAGGAUGGAGUGUGUUUGAACAAGCUGAACCAAUAUUUGAACACAUUGCCUGGGCGAUUGACUGCUUUGCUUGUUCAAGGCACGGCGUCAUUGGGUUUGAGGUAUGAGUGGACCUGGCCGUUGGGAUGCGCACCAUGGAUGAUUCAAUGGCUCCACCAUGGAUACUCGAUUGCUGGAACAUAUAUAAUGUUGAUCCCUAGUUAUAUUGCGGUUAAUUUGUCGAGCUGCACCUUACGGCCCUUGAUCCGAAGUGACUACAUAAUGAUAUAAUCAUAGAACUCCAAUCUAACUGAAAACAUGGAAAUCCUACAUUGUGCCUGUAUAUACGAGUUAUCCCAAGUUCCAUUGCCAGUUUAGUCAAAGAAGUUUGAAUAUUGGUCUGAGAAAUGUAGAAGUAGAGUACAGCCUGUUAGUUAGCAGCUUUUGAUUAUAAACCGCCAGAUUUUGACAGCUUUGUAAAUUAUGGCUGUUACCUUGUAAUGUAAUUUAGGUAUAGAAUGUUUCCGGAGGAUGGAGUGUGUUUGAACAAGCUGAACCAACAUUUGAACACAUUGCCUGGGCAAACUAGGUGUGUCGACUACUUUGAAAUGUUCGACACUGAUCCGUAUCUAUGGAUCGCGGUAGCGGUGAUGUAGUUUGCGGGAGCAGCAUCACGCUGGCUUUCCUCUGUUCAACAUAAGUUCGUUAGAGCAUCACGGGAGGAUUUCUGUCCUCCUGUGCUUCAUCGCUUUGGGCGAAAUCAACAUCGUCUUCAGUAGACUGGAUCUGUCGAAGAAUACAUUGGACAGUUUUCUGAACUUAUGGACCAGUUGACAGCCUAUGAUCCUGAUCCUGAUAUGCUUCAUUGUAUGACUAGAUUUUUAAAUGGUUUAAAAUACAAUGUUCGUGUGAUUGUUGUUGUUCAAAGGCCCGCCGAUUCAGAUGCUGCGUAUCCUAUUGCUGUUGUGCAAGAGGAGAUGGAGGAGUUUGAUGCUGACUUUUAUUCGCCCAAUCGUCGGUCCAGUGUUACUUCUUCAUCUUAUUGUCAGAGCAAGAAAGCCAGCACUCGAAUUCCUGGAUAGCCAAAGAGAAAUGACAAUUUCAAGAGCAGCCCUGUUGGAGAUGACAAGCUGGCAACAUUGAAGGCUUACCGAAGAGCAAAGGGAUUUGCUUCAUCUGUGGCGAAGUGCAGUACUACUGUUCAGUUGCAUAUUGUCCAAGAAAUUCAGUUGACAACGCUGAUUGUGAGGGCAGCAAUAUUGAACUUAGGUUUUGUCAGCAGAGGCGGAAACAACAAAUGGUGCCAUUCGCGUAGAUUGUCAGAUAGCUGAGCAUACAGUGAACUCUGGCAGUUCUCAUUCCUUGGUCAGUGCUCGCUUGGCAACACAACUAGUAGGACAAGAACCACUACCUAAGAUGCAAAAGGUCCGUAUAGCUGGUGGUGGGCAUCUACUUUCACUCAAGUUAUUCCUCGCUGUAAAUGGACUGCGCUCAAAUGAUCAUGAAUUCCAGUAUGAUUUUAAGGCGCUACCUCUGCAAUAUUAUGAUGGUAUUAUUGUUGGAAAUAUGACCUAGAGGCAAUAAUAUAGUCAUUAUUAUAUUUCCAUGUUGAUGGCUCUAUUUUGUACGCAUUUUGGGAGCUCAUUUUUGUUGCAUAUUGUCUCCGUAUAUCAUGUCCUACCAAGCCAAUUACAUGUCCAUUACAUAAUUUGUGGUUUUUAUAGUUUUCUUUGUUUAUUGUGUUUAUAGGUGAGAAAUCAUGGACGAAGGACGAUGAAAAGGUCAAGAUUGAGAU